rnacentral:rRNA from 1 species
UACGGGGGGGGCAAGCGUUGUUCGGAAUUACUGGGCGUAAAGGGCUCGUAGGCGGCCAACUAAGUCUGACGUGAAAUCCCUCGGCUCAACCGGGGAACUGCGUCCGAUACUGGAUGGCUUGAGUUCGGGAGAGGGAUGCGGAAUUCCAGGUGUAGCGGUGAAAUGCGUAGAUAUCUGGAGGAACACCGGUGGCGAAGGCGGCAUCCUGGACCGACACUGACGCUGAGGAGCGAAAGCCAGGGGAGCAAACGGG